GACGAACGCUGGCGGCGUGCUUAACACAUGCAAGUCGAGCGGUAAGGCCCUUUCGGGGGUACACGAGCGGCGAACGGGUGAGUAACACGUGGGUGACCUGCCUCUAGCUCUGGGAUAAGCCUGGGAAGCUGGGUCUAAUACCGGAUAUUGACCUCGCGGUGCAUGUUGCGGGGUGGAAAGCCUUGUGCGGCUAGGGAUGGGCCCGCGGCCUAUCAGCUUGUUGGUGGGGUGAUGGCCUACCAAGGCGACGACGGGUAGCCGGCCUGAGAGGGCGACCGGCCACACUGGGACUGAGACACGGCCCAGACUCCUACGGGAGGCAGCAGUGGGGAAUCUUGCGCAAUGGGCGAAAGCCUGACGCAGCGACGCCGCGUGAGGGAUGACGGCCU
rnacentral:rRNA from 1 species